rnacentral:sRNA from 1 species
GGGAAAAUAGUACUGUACACCUCAUUCAAGUAUUUUGGGUUUUUGUGUUAUUUUUUAGAAUAGAUUGACCCAAGUAAAAUUGUUUAAUUCUUUACAUUUUUUGUACAUGAUGAUAUUGCAAAAUUUUCCCCAUUCGGAACAUUUUCUUUCUCUUUCGCUAUGUUGUAAAUUUUAUGAAUUGAUCUCAGUGUAUAAAAUACUUUCUUUGUUAUAACUAUCAUGUAAUAUGUGAGCGAAAAUAUAUAUUGUAAACCUGUGUUACAUAUUGUUUUACAAUGAAUUUAAUACAAACUCUACCAGAAAACUGAAUAAUAUAUAAAACAGAAUAACAAAUUGUUAUUGUAUAGCAAAAAAAAAAAGUGAUUGUUUUUUAUUUGUUAAAAUCAGGGUUCUCUCUCUUCCACAUGGAUUUUGGUUUUGCGAUAGGUCCUAGGGGUGUGUUCAUACUGUGCCAAUCCUAUCAUAUCAGAUGAUAUAUUUUUAUUGUAAUGAUAGCAACAAGAGAGAAACAAAUUAUUUUGUUGUAGACCUUUUUUUAACCCUUUUCGUGUAGUGUAUAUCGGCCUAUGUCAUACUUGGUGUCAAUUAAACACAUGAGUUCACACGUAAAUACACGCAGUGAAGAGGUAAUGUUUGUCAACUCUUUCGAUAUCCUUCAGAAGUAAGUGUAAUAUGCUUGAACAGAAUUUUGGCUUGUGAUUUAUUGUAACCCAACAUAAACUAUAAAAAUGGCUACACUCAAUAAAAAUGUGAAAGCC